ACCAGACUCCUACGGGAGGCAGCAGUGGGGGAUAUUGCACAAUGGGGGGAACCCUGAUGCAGCGACGCCGCGUGGGUGAAGAAGCGCCUCGGCGCGUAAAGCCCUGUCAGCAGGGAAGAAAAUGACGGUACCUGAAGAAGAAGCCCCGGCUAACUACGUGCCAGCAGCCGCGGUAAUACGUAGGGGGCGAGCGUUAUCCGGAUUCACUGGGUGUAAAGGGAGCGUAGACGGCCAAGCAAGCCAGGGGUGAAAGCCCGGGGCCCAACCCCGGGACUGCCCUUGGAACUGCUUGGCUGGAGUGCGGGAGGGGCAGGCGGAAUUCCUGGUGUAGCGGUGAAAUGCGUAGAUAUCAGGAGGAACACCGGCGGCGAAGGCGGCCUGCUGGACCGCUACUGACGUUGAGGCUCGAAAGCGUGGGGAGCAAACAGGAUUAGAUACCCCCGUAA
rnacentral:rRNA from 1 species